GAUGAACGCUGGCGGCGUGCCUAAUACAUGCAAGUCGAGCGAACGGACGAGAAGCUUGCUUCUCUGAUGCUAGCGGCGGACGGGUGAGUAACACGUGGAUAACCUACCUAUAAGACUGGGAUAACUUCGGGAAACCGGAGCUAAUACCGGAUAAUAUUUUGAACCGCAUGGUUCAAAAGUGAAAGACGGUCUUGCUGUCACUUAUAGAUGGAUCCGCGCUGCAUUAGCUAGUUGGUAAGGUAACGGCUUACCAAGGCAACGAUGCAUAGCCGACCUGAGAGGGUGAUCGGCCACACUGGAACUGAGACACGGUCCAGACUCCUACGGGAGGCAGCAGUAGGGAAUCUUCCGCAAAGGGCGAAAGCCUGACGGAGCAACGCCGCGUGAGUGAUGAAGGUCUUCGGAUCGUAAAACUCUGUUAUUAGGGAAGAACAUAUGUGUAAGUAACUGUGCACAUCUUGACGGUACCUAAUCAGAAAGCCACGGCUAACUACGUG
rnacentral:rRNA from 1 species